CCAAGCCCUGCACCCAGCAUGCUCACAGCUGUACCCUUCUUCCUUUUUAGAAUCCUUAAAUUCCACGAGCUUAAUUUGUUUUUCUUGAAAUUUUCUGUUUAAUGUGAGACAGAAGAAAGACCCUAAAUUUGGGGUUAUUUCAGCCAAGUUUUUCUGAAACAUAGCCCCUUAAUUUUUUUAAGGCAUCGYCAAGUCCUCAGACUCUAAGACUUUGUCUUGCUUGCACGUGGCAUUGGGGCAAGGCUCCUGGCCCCUCAGCUGAUGUCAGUCGCUCGGCUCACAUACCCUGCUGUGCCCAGGCCGUGCUCUGACCCAUCACACGAACCAAGUGACGGCUCCUUUCCCGCCUCACAAGCCGUGGGAUGCCCUUGAGAGCAACGCAAUCCGAGACACGUGAAAACUCAGAAAACACAAUGCUCAGACCGAUGUCUAUGAAACACUUUUCCAGUCUGCAGAAACGGUUCUGAGGAACGAACGAAACCUCAGUUCGCAGCGUGCGAGUAGACUGAGUUUCCCAAAGAGCAGAACUACAGAGAGCAAUGUGCAUUUUAGCCUAGUCAUCCAAAACACUGACAACAAGGAGUGCCAAGCUGCUCCUCAUCAGAUUGUCACUAAUGAACACGAGCCUUCAGAAACAGAACCAACUCAGGUUCACCUAGGACUGCACACUUAUCUUUCCUGCGGGCCCUACCGUUAGGCUUUCUGAGCAAGAUUCAGUUUCUUCCUCAGUUACUGAGAUUAUGCAGUGGCUCUGUUUCCUUAGAAGAUACUUCAGCAGACCACUUUCUCCCCUUGACUUCCUAUUAGACUGCAGUGUAUGAUUCUACAUAAAGUAGUGGCUGGAGACUGGUAAC
rnacentral:lncRNA from 1 species